GACUGGUUUUCUGUUCAAAUUCGUCCUAAUUUGCCUGUUCCGAUUUUAGUUGAAAAUGAGCACUUGCAAAUUUGGCAAUUACUGACUGCGUUGCUUGCUUUUUGGAGUUAAAACGCUGCCAUUUACACAUUGCUUAUGUUCUGAAUAAGCAGAGAAAACCCCGCAACGUUUUAAUGCGAGUUUGUUUGUUAAUAUUUGGGUGCUGUCAUUGGUUCUUUUUUGACAAUUGACGCGCCAAAAGGGGGCGUGUUAUGAAAAGGGGCGUUUUACAAAAUACCGGGCCUUGCUUGCAGGCCCACUAUCAGUUCCCUUGGGCCUGCACGCGGGCUACGAUUGCGAUUAAUUCCAUUUCCAAGUAAUCCAAUAAGAAAACGAAAGGCGUAAUACAUACCAUACGAAAUGCUAAAGCACAAAAUUGAAUAUGUAUUUAAAAAUGAAGAGUUGCUUACUUAACAAAUGAAUAAUUACUUGCUAAGAUAUGUCGGACGACCCUUAAGACGAAUAUCACACCCAAAACUGCAUACAUAUGUUUUCGAUUACCAUAUGAAAUUCUCAAACAAAAAAAGGUAAAAAAUAUGUAAGUAAAGAUAAUAAGAUUGUUAAAAGUGUAAUUAAUUACUUAGUUGAAAUAAGUGGGACCUGCGUUGGGACCAAUAUUAGGAUCACCACCAUCAUCAAUUGGUGUCUGAACCACGCGGGUGCCAUACACAAUCAAAGAUUUCAUCAAACCAAACGCGUCAUCGAACCUGGAAAAUAGAGAUGAACACAUAUUAAAAAUUAAAAUAAAAACUAGGGAUCCAAGGAUAGUGUGAAGUUUCAAAUUGAAAAAGACACCGCAAGAACUAUAUAAGGUACCCGACAACCAAGAAAAGCUGAUGACUUACGCUACGAAAUAAAC